rnacentral:snRNA from 13 species
AUGCCAAACCUGUAAUCAGGGCGAAGCUUGUUUAUUUCACUCCAGAUGUGCUGACCUCUUUGAUUUCCCCAAAUGUGGGAAAUUCGACUGCAUAAUUUAGUGGGGGACUGCGUUCUCACUUUCUCAUG